rnacentral:rRNA from 1 species
AUUGAACGCUGGCGGCAUGCCUUACACAUGCAAGUCAAACGGCAGCAUGGAAGAGCUUGCUCUUCUGAUGGCGAGUGGCGAACGGGUGAGUAAAGCAUCGGAACGUACCGUGUAGUGGGGGAUAACGUAGCGAAAGUUACGCUAAUACCGCAUACGCACUGAGGUGGAAAGCAGGGGAUCGCAAGACCUUGCGCUAUACGAGCGGCCGAUGUCAGAUUAGCUAGUUGGUAGGGUAAAGGCCUACCAAGGCGACGAUCUGUAGCGGGUCUGAGAGGAUGAUCCGCCACACUGGGACUGAGACACGGCCCAGACUCCCACGGGAGGCAGCAGUGGGGAAUUUUGGACAAUGGGGGAAACCCUGAUCCAGCCAUGCCGCGUGAGUGAAGAAGGCCUUCGGGUUGUAAAGCUCUUUCGGCUGGGAAGAAAUCGCACAGGCUAAUACUCUGUGUGGAUGACGGUACCAGCAUAAGAAGCACCGGCUAACUACGUGCCAGCCGCCGCCGUAA